rnacentral:lncRNA from 1 species
AGCCACAGGAAGAUGCGCUUUCACAUCUUCACAGAGGAUGCUCUGAAGCCCGAGUUUGAUAAACAGUUGCGCCAGUGGCCAGACUCAUAUACAAAGAAGUUUGAGCACAAACUCUACCCUAUCACAUUUUCGGUCGGAAACCCUCAGGAAUGGAAGAAACUAUUCAAACCCUGUGCGGCCCAGAGACUCUUUCUUCCGGACGGUAACAUCCAAACUGCCAGAAUGGGGAACUCUGGGAAACUGAUCCCAAGGAAGCAAGGAGAACUGGUGGAAAUUGUUUUCUGGAUAACUGUCUAAAGUAUCUGGACUAAAGAAAUAAAAUAUUUGUUUAAUAAAAUUUACUAAAGCUUAUUAA